rnacentral:lncRNA from 1 species
GGGGAGGGGGCGGGGGGAGGGCCGGGAGGCGGGGAGGGCCGAACGGAAAGGGAGAGGAGAGAAAAACAAACAAACAAAAAACCACCAAAAAAGCAAACAACAACACCAAAAAAACCCCACCCCAAACCGCCUCAAGCCCCGGCAAAGCAGCGAGCGGAGGGGAGAGGUCAAGGGGCAGAGGCGAGAAGGAGCCGCCGCACCGGGAGCCGAGCGGCGCCGGUCCCCGCCGGGCAGGUUCAGUCCGGUCAGCCCAGCUAGCUGCCUUUGCCUGUCCCUCAUGCAGUGUGCUAAAGGGGAAGAAGGCAAGGUCUCGAGAAACGUCAGAAAGUCAUGCGCUAGCUCGGCCUUGUAUUUCCGAGUCUGCAAGCUGUGAUAGGAGGUGGAUGAGCAGGGAAUUAAAGACGACUGUCCUCAAGUGAAUCUUUUGAUUUGUGUCCUCGGGUUAAGACACAGUCCUUGUUUCAGAACGGCCAGUUUCCUUUCUGCACAACUGGAAUCCCUUGGGAAGAGCAGUAAAAUUCCAAGGCUCCUGCCAGUGGAACAGUGAGUUUCAGCUGAAGGGAGAGAGCAGCGGUGAAUGAGGAGAGGAGGAGGGUUGCAUUUCUUUAGUAAAAACUGAAUUAAUCUUGUAUGAACCAUUGUGAUAAAGAUGCCAUGGGAAUAAUAGUUGGUUUGUUCUCAAAAGACAAUCUCUAAGUCAGACUUUCAGACUUGUUAUCUAACCAAGUAGUUUUGGGAUUUGUUUCGCUGGUGGGAAGAAAGAGCUCAGUGAUUUGCUGAUCCUGGGUUUCUAAUUGGUGAUUAUUAUAAAGCAAAAUAAUUAGUUUUGCAUGAUGCUAGAGAUGACAGAAAGCUCCCUUUAGCUGUUCCUGAGAGUCCUAGCAGUUUGGUUAUUCAGGCUUGCCAAAUGUUGCUUCUGUAAUCUAGAACCUGUUGAAAAGCAAUCUCAUGCAAGUGAAUCGCCUUACGGAUGCCUGCAUUCAGCAGCGCCUUGUCAGCACGCUCUUCAAGCUUGAAAGACUUAUUUUUUUAUAAUGAAAACUGGUCAGAUUAAAGUGCUUCUUUGAGCAAACCUUGCAACGUAUGUGUUGAAGUUUACUUCUUAAUUUUUGCUUUCACGGACUUCGUGGCCAGAGUUGUGUCCACUGUCUCUCUUAUUCCUGUCACUGUUUAGCACCUUCUCUCUGAGAGAAUACCUGUUAAUUACGACUGACAGCCAAAACUUACAGCAUUCGAGAGCCUAGGGUGGAAAUACUGCUGAAGCUCGAAUGUUUGUGAGUUGUAGCAAGGGUCUGUGCGGAACAGAAAGUAGGUUACCUGAGACAGCUAAAGGUGGUCUUCUGUUUCUUCUGCCUGGGGUUUUAGAAAAUCAUCUUAAUCUCUUUUCUGAAUAUCUGUUAGCCCAGUGACUAAGGUACCCAUCUGGGAGACGGAAGACAGAAACAAGUCCUUAUUCUGAAAUGGGCAGACUACUGUUUUUUAUGUUUCCACAAAAUGAUUUAUUCUUGAGAAAAAGAUAGUGCUUGACCCAUAAAACUAAUUUGAUCCAAUUCUGAUUACAGCUAGUCAGGAAACUUCUAACAGGGRUAGCUGGAUUUUGGUGUAGGGAUGUACGUUUAAUGUGACUGAUGCUAAACUGGGCUGGCUUACUCAGAAUACUUCCAAGUCUUUUUUGGGAAACUUUCUUCUAGGAGGAAAACCGUGCAGUUUAAGCUAUGGUCUUGGUAAACUAAAAGAUAACCAAAGCUAGUUGCUGAAUUAAAUGCAAAGGACUGCAGGAGCAAUGAUGAAAAUGAUGGUGAUGCAAAAGGUGCUUGAAACCUAUAUACUGGCAAUGCAAACUUCAGCAGAAGACUGCUUCAGAAGGAAGAUACCCAGAAAUGCUCUUCUGUCCCUCCUCUAUUAAAAUCACAGCCAGAACCAGUUUCUGAACGGUGAAGAAUUUCAUGAAUCCAGACAAUGUAAGCCGUCAUCACGUCCUAGUUCCGGCUGCUUCACAUAUUUUUAUCCUUUGCCAGACAAGUAUUUUUCUGAAUUAAUCCCUUUAUAACCCGUCACCCUUCUGUUUUACUUUAGUAGUUGUACAUCCUUGAACUUCUGUCUCUGAAGCAGAAGUAGUGCUUAACUGGUGAAGAUCUGUGAAUUUUCUGCUUAUAACAGAUAUCUUGCUCGUCCAGAAAAAUGACUGUGAUGGUCCUGUUUAAAAAAAAAAUUGUUAAUCUUCUGCCCAAGCUUGUAGCUGCAGAAAAUAUCGGAGGCACCUUCUAUAUGUGCGUGGGAAGAGGCUGUACUUCUGUGUGAUGAAGUGGUGCAGUAUGUGGGAAAAUCCAGAAGUCUGCCAAAAGUAGUCACAUAGAUGUGAUUUACCUGGGAAUGGUUUCAGAAACUCGCUGUGUGUGUAGCACCCAAAACCGAACUAGUGACCUAAGCAGAAGCAAUCAUGUAGCGGGCUGCUAAAUAUAGUCCGCAGAAGGAAAAGUGGUUUAUUUGCUUGUUAUGUACAGUUCUUUUUUUAAAUGUUAUUGUCUUUUCUUCUUUAACUUUCCAUACCUUUGAAAAAAUGAAUGAAGUGAGGAUGUUAAGCAUUUACUGUGGCACAGUUUCUUAAUAAAGUCGUUGCAGUAGGAAGUGGUAUUCA